rnacentral:rRNA from 1 species
GUGAGGAAUCUUCCACAAUGGGCGAAAGCCUGAUGGAGCAACGCCGCGUGAAGGAUGAAGGUCUUCGGAUUGUAAACUUCUUUUAUGAGUGAAGAAUAUGACGGUAACUCAUGAAUAAGCACCGGCUAACUACGUGCCAGCAGCCGCGGUCAUACGUAGGGUGCAAGCAUUAUCCGGAGUGACUGGGCGUAAAGAGUUGCGUAGGCGGUUAUGUAAGCGAAUAGUGAAACCUGGUGGCUCAACCACACAGACUAUUAUUCGAACUGCAUAACUCGAGAAUGGUAGAGGUAACUGGAAUUUCUUGUGUAGGAGUGAAAUCCGUCGAUAUAAGAAGGAACACCAAUGGCGUAGGCAGGUUACUGGGCCAUUUCUGACGCUAAGGCACGAAAGCGUGGGGAGCGAACCGGAUUAGAAACCCGAGUAGUCC